rnacentral:misc_RNA from 1 species
AAGGAAAAAUACGGAAGGUCGACACGGAAGGUCGACACAUCGUUUGCGCUUUGUUCAGUUUUGAGAGGUUUACUCUCAGGGGGCCUUUCUUUGACUGGGAGAGCGCCUGCUUUGCACAACACCAACCGAGAAUCCGCGUUGAACACGUUUUUUAACGAAGUUUACGCACAUGUUCGAAGGGCUUUGAUCGCUCAAAGCAAACACCUUCGAGAAACCCUUGACCGCAAGGUCAAGUCA